rnacentral:misc_RNA from 1 species
UACAGAGGGUGCGAGCGUUGUUCGGAAUUACUGGGCGUAAAGCGCACGUAGGCGGCCCGUUAAGUCUACCUGUGAAAUUCCGGGGCUCAACCCCGGGGCUGCAGGGGAUACUGGCGGGCUGGAGACAAGUAGAGGCAAGUGGAAUUCCCGGUGUAGCGGUGGAAUGCGUAGAGAUCGGGAAGAACACCAGUGGCGAAGGCGGCUUGCUGGGCUUGUUCUGACGCUGAGGUGCGAAAGCGUGGGGAGCGAACAGG